CGCACAUUGCGCCCAUUAGUAUUCUAGUGGGCAUGCCUGUUCGAGCGUCAUUUCAACCCUUAAGCCCCUGUUGCUUAGCGUUGGGAGCCUACGGCCUGCGUAGCUCCUCAAAGUCAGUGGCAGAGUCGGUUCAAGCUCUAGACGUAGUAAAUCUCUUAUCUCGCCUAUAGAUGAACCGGUUUCUUGCCGUUAAACCCCCAAAUUUUAAAGGUUGACCUCGGAUCAGGUAGGAAUACCCGCUGAACUUAA
rnacentral:misc_RNA from 1 species